AGAGAAAGGAGAAGCAGCCUGAGGUCGCUGACCUAGACUCCUGACUCCCACGAGUGGGAUGUGCUGUGGUCCAAUCGGAAGAGAGAGCCUCUUUUAAUUGCGUGCAGCAGGAAGAAUUGGGGUCCAGCGGGUGAACUCGCAAGGGAUGUAGCGGGGCUGAUGGACAGGAGACUAAAGAAGUCUCUGGGUAAUGCAUAGCCGGCUACCCACUUGAAAGACUCUUGUCUCAACGCAAGCUUGUCUGCUUCGUAGUUCACAACGUUCCUCAGAAGUAAACAUGAACGCAGGACUUCUCAGUAGCCCUUCCAGGUCGCCUGAAAGCAGCGCACCUGGGAAGCCUGAAGACAGCCGGGGGGCUUCUCCAGCCUCUGGCUCACAAGAUUUGGGACAGACUGACAGAGAAGACAAUGAGAUGCUGGCUUACUGAUGUGCUUGCUCGCUUUCUCUUGGGGGUCGGGAGUGUGGGGAAAAUGGGCUCCCUCCCCCACCCCAGCAUUGCUGUGCCGAGCAACAUUUUAUACCAGCUGAAUUUUUGUACUAACUGGUCUAUAUUGUGAAGGGAAAUCAUGAAAGAGCACUUUUCACACGGCUGUCUUUUUACAUUAUUCUAUGUGGCCUCCCAUUUCUUCUGGAGGAAUCUAGGGCACGUUUUAUCGCUUUUCCUGUCACCUUCGGGUGUUAACAAGCGGUCUGACUGGCUGUUAUUACAAAGUCCAGUCCAAUCUAAAUCAAACUUUAAGCUCAUUUCAUUUAAGCCUUCGCCCCUCCCUUCCCCUAACUCACAAACCCCAGCCUGACUUAAACCUAGAAAGAUAGUAAAGCCUCCUUUGUGCCAUUCACUUUCCUAUUUGGGUGCUCUGUGAAGCCCAUGCCUCCCAGGUGCAAGGAAUGAGGUCCUGGCGCUACAGCUCCUUCCUCGGGCCACUCCCACUCCUCCAGGGACUCAUCCCACCCCCACCCCCAUCCCACAGGCAGACCUGACCAUCUUCCACCACAUCGGCUGACAGUGUUCAUUAAACUCUCUACAGAAGCUCUGGUUAGCUUCUUCCUUGAGCCUCACACUCCAGAUGACAGGCACCAGCUUCUUCAACACAUUUCUUCUCAGGCACACAGUGAGUGAGCCCUUCCUCCUCGCCCCGCUGGUACCCUGCCAAUCUCACUGCUGAGCCAACAGAAUGCCUUCCUAGCAAGGACCACCGAAAAGACCAAUACCUCUAGGCCAUUGUGUACCUGCCUGUCUCCACGGCAGCACAAGGCAAGGCACUGAGAUCAUGGGAGUAGAAACAGCUAAGGCAUACAACUAUGACUCCUUGGGCUCUGCCAGGAAAACAAAGAGGAUGCCAGCAUCUUGCUGGCUUUCUCUACCUUACUUCUUUGAUUGUGUCAGGGUCCCUGGCCCCAUAGCACCGUGCUACUCAUACACUCAAGGGAAGUCCUCCCUCUCAGAGAACCCUCUCUGGAGAUGUCCUCACAAACACUUCCAAAGUCACCAGUCUCCUAGGUGAUUCUAAAUUGUCAAGUUGACAAUGAAGAUUAAUGGUUACAAAUGGUGUGGCCCUGUUGGAAGAAGUGUGUCACUGUGGAGAUUUUGAGGUCUCUUAUGCCCAAGCUAUGCCCAGUGUAGAACACAGUCUCCUGCUGCCUGUGGAUCAAGAAAUAGAACUCUCAGCUCCUUCUCUAGCACCAUGUCUGCGUACAUGCCACCAUGUUUCCCACCAUGAUGAUAAAGGAUUAAAUCUCUGAAACUGUACACCAGCCCCAAUGAAAUGAUUUCCUUUAUAAGAGUUGCCAUGGUCAUGGUGUCUCUUCGCAACAAUGAAACCCCAAGACACCCCCAUCGGUUCAUAUUUAAAUGCUUGGCUCCCUGUUGGUAGAGUGUUUGAAAGGGUUAGGAGGUAUGGCCCUGUCAAAGGGGAUGUGUUACUGAGGUGGGCUUUGAUGUGCUAUCUGUUGCCUAUGGAUCAGGAUGUAGAACUCUCAGCUGCUUCACCAGCACCGUGUCUGCCUACAUGCUGCCACGCAGCCCACCAUGAUGAUAAUGGACUAAUCCUUUGACAUUGUAAUCAAGCUUGCCUUGGUCGUGUCUCCUCACAGCAAAUGAACAGUGACUAAGACAGACGGGAAAAGAAAAUAUGCACUAUCCAGACCCCCGCUGAAGGCACAGGCUUACCCUCAGAUUAUGUCAUGAGGAUACCUAAGAAUCUCAUAGAGGCCUCUCAAGAUGAUUAUUUCAAAGUUACCAGGCUGAGCAUUGACUUUGCUUCAGGGUCCUAUUCUCUAUUGAUAGGGAAUGUCUUUGGGCCUUGAAGUCCCCAUAUCUUCCAGGGCUUUAGAAAAACAGGCAGCAUCGUGGUGCAUCUGAAAGACCCACAACAUGAGGACUCCCCCACGUUCUAACUCAGUAGAGGCGACACCCCAAAAUCACCAACGAGAAACGGUCUUGCUGCAAAUUGCAAGAGGAUUUUUAUUCAAGAGCGCUCUCGGGCCCAGGGUCAUACACCACGCAGGGGUAGAGGACCGUGGCGUGCUGAGUAGCUGAGUAAGGGGGUAUUUAAAGGAAAAAACCACAACUCAAGGAGGUGGAAAGGGCGUUGUUGGAAAAUAACAAAAAUACCAGUUAAGAGUCACAAGGAAGUGCAAAGUUACAAGAGUCACAAGGANNNNNNNAAGAACAUCCUUUGCAUCAAGAAUUCCAGAUCAUGUGUCCCGCGGUCUUUCUAGGCUUCUCAUCCUGACCCAGGCAGGUCUGCAGUGGAGACAUUCUUGUUUGACGACAGAGCAGCACAUGCCUGAACCAUCCCCCAAAUUCCUGGGACAGUGUUUCCAACAAGGACUCUGGUCUCAGUCCCUCUGCCACCAGCAACCGGCUACCUGCAAGUAGGCAACCUCUCCUCCUAAGGAACGAAAGCAGAGCCCGGCACACCGCUGCCUCGGGACACACUUCCGAGCUCCGACAGGGUUGCUUGGUGCUUCUCCUCCCAGGGUUCAUUGCACGAGAUUGUUAAACACUUUCUGUCCAUACCUCCUCCCUCCACAGAUGGAUACUGGAUACAGCUCUUUAGCCCCGCCUGGGAUUUAUCCUUGGUGAAAGGAUAAGAUGCCUUGCCCGCAAGACCCAGCACAGAGCACUUUGACCAGGUUCUGCCUCCGCGAUACACGUUUCCCCUGCAGGUCAGCUUCUCUUUAUAUCUGAGACGGCUCUGCCUUUGUUUCUGGUGAAAAACCAUGCAAAACCUCAUAAAACCCUCAUCCUAGACAUAAGGCAAAUCCCCCUAGGCAAUUAUGCUUGCCACAGCUGAAUCACCCGG
ensembl:lincRNA Gm15721 predicted gene 15721